AGCUACAGGCUUAACACAUGCAAGUCGAGGGGCAGCAUUUCAGUUUGCUUGCAAACUGGAGAUGGCGACCGGCGCACGGGUGAGUAACACGUAUCCAACCUGCCGAUAACUCGGGGAUAGCCUUUCGAAAGAAAGAUUAAUACCCGAUGGUAUAAUCAGACCGCAUGGUCUUGUUAUUAAAGAAUUUCGGUUAUCGAUGGGGAUGCGUUCCAUUAGGCAGUUGGUGAGGUAACGGCUCACCAAACCUUCGAUGGAUAGGGGUUCUGAGAGGAAGGUCCCCCACAUUGGAACUGAGACACGGUCCAAACUCCUACGGGAGGCAGCAGUGAGGAAUAUUGGUCAAUGGGCGCAGGCCUGAACCAGCCAAGUAGCGUGAAGGAUGACUGCCCUAUGGGUUGUAAACUUCUUUUAUAUGGGAAUAAAGUUUUCCACGUGUGGAAUUUUGUAUGUACCAUAUGAAUAAGGAUCGGCUAACUCCGUGCCAGCAGCCGCGGUAAUACGGAGGAUCCGAGCGUUAUCCGGAUUUAUUGGGUUUAAAGGGAGCGUAGGUGGACAGUUAAGUCAGUUGUGAAAGUUUGCGGCUCAACCGUAAAAUUGCAGUUGAUACUGGCUGUCUUGAGUACAGUAGAGGUGGGCGGAAUUCGUGGUGUAGCGGUGAAAUGCUUAGAUAUCACGAAGAACUCCGAUUGCGAAGGCAGCUCACUGGACUGCAACUGACACUGAUGCUCGAAAGUGUGGGUAUCAAACAGGAUUAGAUACCCUGGUAGUCCACACAGUAAACGAUGAAUACUCGCUGUUUGCGAUAUACAGUAAGCGGCCAAGCGAAAGCAUUAAGUAUUCCACCUGGGGAGUACGCCGGCAACGGUGAAACUCAAAGGAAUUGACGGGGGCCCGCACAAGCGGAGGAACAUGUGGUUUAAUUCGAUGAUACGCGAGGAACCUUACCCGGGCUUAAAUUGCAUUUGAAUAUAUUGGAAACAGUAUAGCCGUAAGGCAAAUGUGAAGGUGCUGCAUGGUUGUCGUCAGCUCGUGCCGUGAGGUGUCGGCUUAAGUGCCAUAACGAGCGCAACCCUUAUCUUUAGUUACUAACAGGUCAUGCUGAGGACUCUAGAGAGACUGCCGUCGUAAGAUGUGAGGAAGGUGGGGAUGACGUCAAAUCAGCACGGCCCUUACGUCCGGGGCUACACACGUGUUACAAUGGGGGGUACAGAAGGCAGCUACCUGGUGACAGGAUGCUAAUCCCAAAAGCCUCUCUCAGUUCGGAUCGAAGUCUGCAACCCGACUUCGUGAAGCUGGAUUCGCUAGUAAUCGCGCAUCAGCCAUGGCGCGGUGAAUACGUUCCCGGGCCUUGUACACACCGCCCGUCAAGCCAUGAAAGCCGGGGGUACCUGAAGUACGUAACCGCAAGGAGCGUCCUAGGGUAAAACUGGUAAUUGUGGCUAAGUCAUAACA
rnacentral:rRNA from 1 species